GGCAGGAUGGCCCAGUGGUUAGGGCACUUGCCUAGGACUCAGGAGACCUGAGUUCAGUUCCCUGCUGUGCCA
rnacentral:tRNA from 1 species